UACGGCCAUAUCACGUUGAAACAUCGGUUCUUGUUCGAUCACCGAAUUUAAGAAUCAUUGAGCCUGGUCAGUACUCAGAUGGGUGACUGCUGGGGAAUACC